UUCGCCCUUAGAGUUUGAUCCUGGCUCAGGAUGAACGCUAGCUACAGGCUUAACACAUGCAAGUCGAGGGGCAGCAUAAACUUAGCUUGCUAAGUUUGAUGGCGACCGGCGCACGGGUGAGUAACGCGUAUCCAACCUUCCGUACACUCAGGGAUAGCCUUUCGAAAGAAAGAUUAAUACCUGAUGGUAUGAUGAGAUUGCAUGAUAGCAUCAUUAAAGAUUUAUCGGUGUACGAUGGGGAUGCGUUCCAUUAGGUAGUAGGCGGGGUAACGGCCCACCUAGCCAACGAUGGAUAGGGGUUCUGAGAGGAAGGUCCCCCACAUUGGAACUGAGACACGGUCCAAACUCCUACGGGAGGCAGCAGUGAGGAAUAUUGGUCAAUGGACGAGAGUCUGAACCAGCCAAGUAGCGUGAAGGAUGAAGGUCCUACGGAUUGUAAACUUCUUUUAUAAGGGAAUAAACCCUCCCACGUGUGGGAGCUUGUAUGUACCUUAUGAAUAAGCAUCGGCUAACUCCGUGCCAGCAGCCGCGGUAAUACGGAGGAUGCGAGCGUUAUCCGGAUUUAUUGGGUUUAAAGGGAGCGCAGACGGGUCGUUAAGUCAGCUGUGAAAGUUUGGGGCUCAACCUUAAAAUUGCAGUUGAUACUGGCGUCCUUGAGUGCGGUUGAGGUGUGCGGAAUUCGUGGUGUAGCGGUGAAAUGCUUAGAUAUCACGAAGAACUCCGAUUGCGAAGGCAGCACACUAAUCCGUAACUGACGUUCAUGCUCGAAAGUGUGGGUAUCAAACAGGAUUAGAUACCCUGGUAGUCCACACGGUAAACGAUGGAUACUCGCUGUUGGCGAUAUACUGUCAGCGGCUUAGCGAAAGCGUUAAGUAUCCCACCUGGGGAGUACGCCGGCAACGGUGAAACUCAAAGGAAUUGACGG
rnacentral:rRNA from 1 species